CACGCCGUAAACGAUGUCAACUAGCCGUUGGGGAACUUGAUUCUUUAGUGGCGCAGCUAACGCGAUAAGUUGACCGCCUGGGGAGUACGGUCGCAAGAUUAAAACUCAAAUGAAUUGACGGGGGCCCGCACAAGCGGUGGAGCAUGUGGUUUAAUUCGAAGCAACGCGAAGAACCUUACCUACUCUUGACAUCCAGAGAACUCGCUAGAGAUAGCUUGGUGCCUUCGGGAACUCUGAGACAG
rnacentral:rRNA from 1 species